UCCCCUGUUUGAAAUGGAAAAUUAAGGGAAUUGAAAUAAGUUUCAAACGUGAAUCAAGGAUAGCCAAUUGGUUUAGAGAUUGUCUUAUCUGAAACGUAAAUGAGUGUGUCAAAAUGUACUACAACUGAAGAAUAAUGAAUUUUUGUACACCAUAAGACAAGAUUGUCUUAUCUUUGUACACUCAGGACACGGAAGCAUAGCUUCUCACAAAACGACUUUGUUGGGUCUGCAAGUUCAAGAGUCAAGCUGGAUAAUCUCUAGUGAAAGAUUGCAGAAUGCAUUCAAAUUAUAUGGCAGCUAUAACGAGCCUAACUUUCUGAUGUCGUCUGCUAACAUUUAACUUGUCAAAGCUCCUAAUAAACUUCUUCUAUCUAUCAUUUUUUGAAAGGUUCUCCUACCUAUUUGAUAGUUCUUCUGUACAACAUUAUGGCAAGAGCAAACUUGCAUGCACCAAGAAUCUGGUUGCAGUUCAUCACUCUAGGAUCUUACGAUCGCGGAAGGUAGAAUUACGUGUUCUUGAGAAUUUCAACAUGUUUCUCCCAAGCUUGCCGCCUUCGUUCUCCUAGAUGCUAGGUGACUCCACAGAUACAGUACCGGCUCAUUUGGUACAGUGACAUGCUCAUGGUAAUGUCAUUGGUGUCUUAGAUUGCUGAAUUACAGUGAACUGCAGUAGCCUGCUUUCCUUGUUGCCUGGCAGCUCAUGAUAUUGCGGUCGAAGUGCUAGUCAACAGGCUGUCCCUCUUGGCUCUAGUGUCGGCUUGCAGUUGCCGUUUCACACCAUUGUAAACUGCACAAAUAGAGUUAAUCACAUCGCGGUUUAAUUUUCUCGCAAGUACAAACAUGGAAUUGACAACACUUGAUGCAUGGUAUUGCGUGAACAGGACUGUGCAGCUUGCUGUGUAAGGCGCUGGAUAUUUUGUCGAAUACUUUGCAAGCAGCAGAGACGAUGCGUCUAUGUUUGCGCUUCCAAUUGCUCGCCAACUUGGCGAUGGAUGGUGCCGGCAGUAGAGGCAGGGCAAACAAUCGGUAAGCAGCACUUGCUAUGGUGUCCGAGAAGGCAAGACGGAGGAGGCUGAUCCUCUGAUAAGCGAUUUGGAGCUGGACUUUGAUGUAGCACUACUAGCACAUAAUCAGGCUAGCUUGCACUUGUUGCGCAUAAAUACACUGCAAGGAACAUCGGGUACGAGAAUCAGUAACUUCAGGCUUCAUAAGAAAAUCAUCGAGCAUAUGUUGUGCA